AGGAGGAGGGAGAAGAUGAGGAGUAGAGAAAUAUUGUGCCUCUGAGAAAAUUUCAGCGUGGUUCACUGUGCGAGGAUAACAAAGGAAGCUGAGGAAGUCUGUUCUGGAGGCACCAUGACAAAGCACCAGACAGAAAGCAGUCACGUGUGGGGAGAUGAGCAGAGACACCACUUCUCAAGCACCUGAUUAUUCUUUCUCAGUAUUUAGAAGCAAAAAUUAUCCUUAAGAAAAACAACCGCAAACGCAACACAGGCUACACAGAUGAGAAGAUGGCUCAUGAAACACUGCACUAAACAGUCACAGGACCAGGCAUUGCUCAUGCUAUUGGGAAAACACCUGUGAACAAAAUGUCCCUGCCAUCAAGGAGUUUAUACUUCAGUUUUAGAAGCAAAAAGUAAAAUCAUAAAGGAAAACUAUCUCAGCUUGCAGAGCUCAAACCAUUACACCAUUCAGAAGCUGGCUUUGGUAUUACUUCAAGUUAUUCAAAACAGUCACCACUUGCUGAGCCUCUGAUGUCUCAUCUGUUGAAUGGGUACAUUUCCUUCCUGAUCCUUCCACCUCUAAACUUGUCUAUUUCCAAGGAUCUAUGGCAUCCAGGCAUAUGGUGAGCUUCAAACAUAUAUUUCAAGAGAGAAGGCUGAAAAGGAAGGUGACUGGAAUAUUAAGAACUGUGAGAUAUUCUGAGGAAACUCUAAUUUGUAAAUUGGUAGAAAUGCCAGUAAUUUGUUGGGAAUUGAAGACCCUCUGUAUUCAAGAGCGAAGCUUGGCAGCUGUGCACUGUUGUUUUAUCAAUCAAUAUUACAUCUGAAGGUGGUGUUUGAAUGUUUGUGUCAUUGGGGUUUGUCUCCAACAUAGUC
rnacentral:lncRNA from 1 species